CCUACGGGAGGCAGCAGUGAGGAAUAUUGGUCAAUGGGCGAGAGCCUGAACCAGCCAAGUCGCGUGAGGGAGUACUGCCCUAUGGGUUGUAAACCUCUUUUGUCGGGGAGCAAAAGCCGGACGUGUCCGGCUGUGAGAGUACCCGAAGAAAAAGCAUCGGCUAACUCCGUGCCAGCAGCCGCGGUAAUACGGAGGAUGCGAGCGUUAUCCGGAUUUAUUGGGUUUAAAGGGUGCGCAGGCGGAUUUUUAAGUCAGCGGUAAAAUCGUGGGGCUCAACCCCAUCCAGCCGUUGAAACUGGGGAUCUAGAGUGUGCUAGAGGUAUGCGGAAUGCGUGGUGUAGCGGUGAAAUGCAUAGAUAUCACGCAGAACCCCGAUUGCGAAGGCAGCAUACCGGUGCACAACUGACGCUCAGGCACGAAAGCGUGGGUAUCGAACAGGAUUAGAUACCCCAGUAGUC
rnacentral:rRNA from 1 species